UCUUUUCACUUUUGUGCGGGAAAUUGUGUGCUGUGGCAGUUGUAUCGUUGCGUCUUGCGGUUACAAAGGUGCAGCAUGUCUUACCUUUGCGACGUGCUGCGAUGCUUGCUUGUGUUCUCUUGGCAAGGCAAGAUAAUAUACAAUUCUUGUGGACAGUGUUGUCGAAGGUAGCGUUGGCUGCAUCCAGGCUGGAGAUCGAGGGAACACACCCAUAUGACACUGCACAAUAACUCUGACACACCACAUAUAAGGUGAGUGCGAUAUGGGUGACUGCUUGGAUCGGACCUACAAUAUGGCGGCCGAUGGCAGCACAUCUGCCUGAAAGCGACAGUGGCGGUCUCCUACGGAUGACGUCAUGUGAAUAAACCCUAUAGUGUGCCAUGAGGAAUAUUGCGGCGACACCAUGCGCCAUCAGCCGACAAACCACACUUUCUGCCGCAGCGUAGCGUCAUGUGGCCAGUCCUAACAGAGAAUACGGAAAUAGAGUGAGUAUGAUGGACUACAUCAUCUGGCCAGGGAUUUUCUCAGCACCC